CAGCAGCCGCGGGAAUACGUAGGGGGCAAGCGUUGUCCGGAUUUAUUGGGCGUAAAGAGCUCGUAGGCGGCUUGGCAAGUCGGAUGUGAAACCUCCAGGCUCAACCUGGAGUCGCCAUUCGAUACUGCCAUGGCUGGAGUUUGGUAGGGGACCACGGAAUUCCUGGUGUAGCGGUGAAAUGCGCAGAUAUCAGGAGGAACACCGGUGGCGAAGGCGGGUCUCUGGGCAGUAACUGACGCUGAGGAGCGAAAGCGUGGGGAGCGAACAGGAUUAGAUACCCGGGUAGUCCCUGUCUCUUAUA
rnacentral:rRNA from 1 species